CUCUUAUCGAGAGCAGGCGGAGGGACUGGCCCGAUGAAGCCCGGCAACCAACACCGCGCUUGAUUACAGCGGGGUGUCAGGUGCUAAAUCCUGCGAAGCUCAUGGCGCUUCGGGAGAUGAGAG
rfam:Kyrpidia tusciae DSM 2912, complete genome.